rnacentral:misc_RNA from 1 species
UACGGAGGGUGCAAGCAUUAAUCGGAUUUAUUGGGCGUAAAGGGCGCGUAGGCGGGAGCGUAAGUCAAAUGUGAAAUCCCGGGGCUCAACCUCGGAACUGCAUUUGAGACUGUGUUUCUUGAGGGUAGGCGGAGGAAAUGGAAUUCCACAAGUAGCGGUGAAAUGCGUAGAUAUGUGGAAGAACACCUGUGGCGAAAGCGGUUUUCUAGCUUAUUCCUGACGCUGAGGCGCGAAAGCAAGGGGAUCAAACAGG